rnacentral:lncRNA from 1 species
UCUCAUCCCUUUAUCUCUUUUACUUUAUUUGUCAUUUAUUUUAUCUCACCAUAUCUAUUUUCAUAUUUAUUUAAACCUUUUAUAAGAACUUUAUUUUAUUUGGUUAAAAUCUUUUUUUAAGUGCUUAUCUUAAAUCGUUUUCUAAAGAACACAAUUCACCCCCCUCUUGUGUGUUUGAAGUCACUUGGUCAACAACUUAGCCUUAAAAUUUUGGAUGAAAAUGUAGUCUCGUUUUCACAUGUGGUUGCCCUUUCUCCAAUGCGUCGAUCCAAAUUAGUGUACGCUCCUCCAGAAAGCCCAACGGUGGUAUGAUAUUUUGGUUCAACGUUUUGGGGGAGCGGGAGUGUUUUAGGUGGUGGAUCACGAACACGAAGAGUCUGACUUUAAUGGAGAGAUGUUAAUGUGUUCAGUGUAAGUUAAAAUUUCACAUUGUAUGCAAGAGUAGCUGUGAGCGACAUAUAAAUAAUAUGAUCCACGUCGUAAUGCCUUGAGACUUUGGAUGAAGAUGUGAUAUUAAUCUCACUCGUGUGAUUACUCUUAGGCUAAUGUGAUCAUACAACUCAAUUUAGACUCUCACAUAAGUCUCAACAUUAUGAUAAUUUGAUUUCUAUAUUUUUUAAUGUCGUUUUGUUUAAUUUUUUUUAUCUUAAAUUAAUUUUAGUUUUCAAAUGUCAAAAAAUUAUUCAACCAUUGUUAUAUCUGAUUCAUUCACUUUUGAUCUUUGGUGAGAUCUUACAAUAGAAAAAUGUAGAUGUGAGAUAAAAAAAAUACAUACAUGGCGUCCGGACCCCCGAACUUGAGCCGAGUAAAGAAAAGGUUUAGAGACCUGCUGAAAAAGGUCCACUUUAUUUUCAACAAAAACAGACCGGAAUCAACGUCAAUCAAUAGAAAUGUCAAAAUAAGGAAGAAAAAAAAUGUUUGUUAGACAUUUUAAAUUGUCGUUACAUUUUUUUUUUAGGGAAAAUUGUCGUUAUAUUUUUUUAAUGAGUAUAUAUUGUAGUAAAAUAAUUACCCAUUAAUUCUUAACUCUUUCAAUAAAUGUAUAAAAUUAUCAGUAACUCGUUGUAUACUUUAUACUCCCAAAUAAAAACAAUCACUCCUUAUUUGUUUCCCUUAUUAUUUCUCUCAUGUUCAAAUUUCUUUUUCGUCUUCUUUAUUUUUCUAAUAUACUUUCUCAUUUCUCAUGAAAGAAAGAAACAAAAACACUUCUAUAUAAAAUCAACACCAACCCACAUUUUUUAACAUGUUGUGUCUCUGAUCUUAUUUGGCUCUCUCACCAUAUCAGAAAUACGGAUUGUCUCACAAGUAACAGAGAUAUGUUAAUGUGUCAUGUGUAAGUUAAACUUCUACAUUGGAAGCAAAAGUAUAUAUUGAGAAACAUGAAUGUGAGAUGACUAAUAUACAUAAUGUAUUAAGGUUUUAAGGGAAGAUGUGGUGUCAAUCUCACAUGUCGGAUUUCUCUUGAUCAAAUCUGACGAUCAAUCUAUUAUAGGCUUGCACAAAACUCCAAACACUAUGAUGAACUAUUUUUUUUAGUUUUUGGAUGUCAUUAGUUUAAUUUUAUUAUAUUAAAUAUAAGAUUUUAGAUGUUCACUUUGAUGAAAGAAAAAAUUAUCCAACCUCUACUAUUUCAAAUACCUUCAUUUUUGGUCUUUGGUGAGAUCUAGUCAUAGAAAAAUGUAGAUGUGUUAUGUUGAAUUAACAAAUUACAUGCUUAUAAGACAUUUUAAAAUGAUGUGAAAUUUUUUUCAACUCCUUCCAAUAUCCCAUAAAAUUAUCAUGAAUCCGCUCUAUUCCUAACACUUCAAUGGAAAAAACACACACUACUUUUUUCCUUUGUCAUUUCUAUCAUCUUUAAAUUUCUUUUUUAUAUUCUCUCUUUUUCUAAUUUUCUUUCUCUUUUUUUAUGAAAGAUAGGAUCAUAAACCUCCAUCCAUCAAAACACUAUCAACUCACAUUUUUUACAAUGUUGUGCCUACGGUUAACCUUAUUUGGCUAUGUCACCAAAUCUCAUACGCAAGAGUCUCACACUUAUGGGAGAGAUGUUAAAGUGUCAAUUGUGACUCAAAGUUUCAAAUUGGAUGCAAGUAAAUCUUGAAAAACAUAUAAGUGAGAUGAUCAAUAUACAUAAUGCUUUAAGGUUUUGGGUGAUGAUGUGGUGUCAAUCUCAGUUGUGUGCUUUGUGAUGAUCUAACUCAUUGCAGGCUCCCUUGAAACUCUAAACAUUUUGAUAAAUUAUUUUGUUAGUUUUUUCAACAUUGUUUGUAAACUUUUAUAUUAAGUUGAAGUUUUUUGAUGUUUUUCGCUUUCAUGCAAUAUUUUAUAAUAAAUCUCUAUUAUUUCAACUUCCUUUAGUUUUGGUCUUCGUUAGGAUUUCACGAUAGAAUAUUGUUGAUGCGUUAUGUUGAGUUGACAAAAUACUCCCUCUGUCCCAUAAUAUAAGCAAAAAAAACUCAUUUUCUUUGUCCCAAAAUAUAAGCAAAAAAAAAAACAAACUUUUAUCCUAUUUAAUCUUGGUUUUAAAAAAAAAAUCAUCUUUUCCAAUAAUUGUUUUUGUUUUUCUCAUAAAAUUAAAUGCAAAUUACAUUUAAUUUUAUCUCUCUUUCAUUUUCUCCAUAACCAAUAGCCAAUAAAAAUUGUUUUUACACCUUCCAAUAAAACUUUUUUCAAAAAAUGCACCUGCAUUUAAGUGUUUUGGUAAUGAUGGCGAUAUAAGUGUUUUUUGUAAUGAUGGAGAUAUAAGUGUUUUGGUAAAUGAAAGAAGUGUACACUUACGACAAAAAUGGCUCAACUUCUGGACAAUUUAGAAGAACAUAGAGAUGUGCAGCUUUCAUUUCUUUGUCUUGUAGGAAGUAGGUUGUACAUUUUUCAGAAGGACGCCCAGGAUAAUUAAAGAUAGACAAAGGUUGUCGGAUUGAACAACUUUCGCCUCCAUCAUCAUUUCGAUAAUAGUAAGACGCAAACGUAGAGGCCUCCUCCACACAAAUAGAGCCCUCGACAGAAGAUGAGUUUGUGACCUUAUCUUUUAAGGUACGAAUAAACUUAAUAAAAUAACUUGAAGACAUUAAUACAAUUAUGAGUGCAUAGUGACCUCCAAUUGGUUUGGUUAAGCUUAAUUGUGAUGGUGUUUGGAAUGGAUCUGGUAUUCUUGCAGGGUGUAGAGGGCUUCUUCGAGACUCUGAUGGUAGAUGGAUCAAAGGCUGCUUCAAGAAGAUUGGAAUGUGUGAUGCUUUUCAUGCUGAAAUGUGGGGCAUGUACCUAGGUUUGGACAUGGCGUGGAUGGAGAAUACCACUCAUCUUAUAGUGGAGAGUGACUCAAAGAUCUUGGUCGACAUGAUUACUAAAAAUUUCAAUUUUGAACGACUCCUACUUUGGUCAGGCGUAUUCGACAACUUUUGAGUUUGAGUUGGACUGUCAAAAUUACCCAUACUUGGCGGGAAGGCAACAGAAGUGCAGAUUGGCUUGCUAAUUUCAGCAUUUCAAUGGAUUUUCUAGAUUUUCAUAUUCUGAAGACUCCCCCUAGUGAGCUUCAGAGUCUUUUGUUUGAUAAUAUUUUCGGGGCUUGCAUGUCAAGGAACGUCCGUUUAAUUUCUUAGUUUUCUUUUUCUUUGGGCUUUGCCCUCUUUUGUACCAAUAUAUAUAUAUAUUAUAAUAUAUUUUCAGCAACAAUCUUCUUGAAGCAUUAAAAAUAUAUUUGAAACAAAUCUUUUAUAUUUUCUGCAUCAAUCUUCUCAAAAUAUUUUUUUUUAAGGAAUCUUCUCAAAAUAUAUUUUUACAAAAUCUAUUUUUGUAAAUACAAUUCAAAUAGCCUUAAACCGACGAAGGAAGCUUCUAGAAACACACGCUUCUUGGAUCACAAGUCACAUGAAUAGUUCUAGAAACCCUAAUGAUUUUGAGCCAGGCAUAUUAUCCUUCCUAUAAAUAAACAAAUCAACCCGCACAGUCUCACAAGAUUACAACUCCAACAUCUAUUUCAAUCUUAGAGAGAACAAUGAGCAAAACCCUAGGAUUGUUGCUACUCUUUUUUCUCCUCCUAUUGACCUCUUUCACAGUAUUUGCCGAAGAGUUUGAAACUCUUCCCAAUCAUUCAGCAUCCCCUGCACCCCAUGUUCACACUCCUUUACAUCCUACUUCUCCUCCUGACCCUUCUAUCAUAAACUCCAUCAUCAUCACCGCCCUCGUGUUCCUUCCCUUGUUAACCCUCUUCAUCAAAGACAUUUUAGUCCAACACAUUUUAGUCCAACACACCCUUCAAUUGCUCCCUCCUUUUGCACCUCACGCACGGUCGCCAAUAUUGCGUCCCACUUCUAUCCCUACAACCUUCAUGCCUGCUCAAGUUGUUGUUUAUCACAACUUUGCUCCUGCUCUUAACAUCCCGCUUCUUGGUAAUUUGUUUUUUUAACUUUAUUAUGCUUAUUUUUUAGACAUGUCUUUUCUGUUGCUAAAACAAAAAUAUGACGAUUGUUAUGAUGUUUUCAAAAUUGCAGGUGCCAUUGCGUAGAUCUAAUGCAAAAAUACUCAUAAGGACGGUUCGUGUAUAAGGCAUUGGACUCACUUCACUUUGAUUUUUGAUUUUUUAAGGCAUGUGUGAAGUUGUUCUAUUAGUAAAACAUGUAGAAAUACCAGUUUACUAGUCUUUUGAUUUGAUUUGUUAUCGAAAUUGAGCAGACACUCAUAGCCAUAGUUUCUAGUCCUUUUAUUUUCUUUUAAUAACAUUGUCUUUUGCUGAAACUCUAUGCUAGCUAAUAGGUCCACGAUUUUGAUGAGUUUUUUCACUUUGGAAAAGCGUGGUUUGUAUCUAUAAUGUGAUAAAUAUUUAGUGUAAAUGAAUCAGUGCCUACUUUUACUGUUCCCAAAUUCAAAUUAUGAUAUUUCUCCCUUUAGCUAGUUUUCUACUGCUACUUCUCUUGGUUAAAUACCAAAACUAAUAAGCUUAAAUAUAUUUUUCUCCUUUGUUUUAGAUACUUCUCUUGGUUAGAUACUAAAAAAUUUGUAAAUUAUGGUUGUCAAAUAAGUUGUCAAUUAAAUUAGUUGUUCAAAUAACAUUCCUCUACUUAAUAUGACAAGUACACGUGAAUUUAUUAUUUUUCGAUUAUAGUAAUGUAAAGUGCAACACUACUGCCUUUUCAACCCAAUUAUUUAUUAGUUGUUCAAAAAAAGAAGAUUAUUAUAAAAGUUGUUAUCAAUUGGUUGUACAAAUAUCACUGCUCUUUCUCUAAUUGUUGAGGUUUGCUUUAAUCUUUCCUUCUCUUUUUUAACAAAAAAAUAUAGACUAACUUGAGUGGGCAUAGUUGUUAUAUAUUUUUGGAUAUAACAUAACGAUCACAAAAGCUAGGCGUAGCAAUAUUUUGUAUAUGCCAAUGUGUUCCAUGAUCAUUAUGGCAUUGUGGACUAUCCUCAUCCUCAUAUUGUAAUUUCACAAUUUCUAAUAAUUAUAAGGUAUAUGUUUAAAUUUCUUUUAAUUUGGGUAUCAGGUUUUACCUCUUCAAGGUACUUUGUUAAAGUUUGAUGGUUUCUGAGUAUAGUUACUUCUGAAUGGCUUUUAUGGCAUCAUUAGUUCCUUAUUGUUAAAUUUUUUAUCCCAAUCUAACAAUAAUGCUAAUAAUAAUAUCCUCCAAUUUUGAGUUAGGAGUGUUUUAUUAAUUUUGUUUCUCUUAAUUAACUUUGUAGCGUUUGUUUGGGUACCUUCACAAGAUUUCAAAAAAAUCAAGAAAAUAAACAAGUCACACACACUCACAACUAAUCACAAACACCAAAACACCCAUUAAGGUAAUCCAAUAUAUGGCUGAAAAAAUACUAUAUACUAACAAGAUUAAUGUCGUAGAUAUAUAAGGAGUGACACACAAGAAACAGAAUAAAAAAAAUGGACACCGCUGUUACAACAAUUCUAAUCACCUAAUUAAGAAUGUAUACAUGACAGUAGAGUUACAAAAAAGGAAAAAAACCAAAACAGUCUUUGGUUAAUUAAACACCCUAAACCCUAAACAACUAUUGAUUAAUUACUUCUUGCUUCUCUCAUGUUGGUGCAAUAGAAACAAGGGCAAAAUCAGUUAGAACAUCCAAUGAGUUUGUGAAAAUCAAACAUAACAUCUAUACUCUCAUUAAAACAAGCAGUAUUUUGGAUCUUCUCGAGUUUGAGUUGAGCCGCUUCUCUUUGAUCUUGUCGAACUUGACCCUUCAUUUGUCUCCAAUUAGACAACGUCUUCUUCACUUCAACAUCAUCAACAAAAGGACCAACAAGUUUUUUGUAAGGAGUUUGAUGAUCUUUAACUCUUUCUUCUUUUUCUUUUUCCCAAUCUAUCAUGAUCUUUGUGAUUGCAACCACAUUAACUGAAACAAAUUUUCUCUUCUUGACACAUUUUCCUUUGAUGGAAAAUGGUUUUGCCUUGAAUCCAACACCUUGAUGAAUCACUUUCCUUUUGCCUUGACACAUUUUAGGGUUUGAUCGUAGGGUUUGUGAAAGGAAGGUUUUUUGUGAAUACAAAAAGACACCAACACAAAGACACAAGCGGUGAAUAAGAAUGUAAUGGAAGAAUGAAUGUGUUUUUGUUAGUUAGGGUUUUGGUGUUGUUGUCUAGUUAAACAUAAGUAACCUUGAUUGAACUGCGGGAAGCUUCCUUCCAACGGUAAUAAAAUCGUGUAAAUAACUAAAAACUAAUUAUUUCUUUUAUAUUUUACUAUUUACUAUUUUUUUUCAUUCUAUUUUUUAUUUUUAAAUUGGACCGUUUCUCUAAAUUGUAAAAUUAAUUGCUUGAAUUACAAAAUUAAUUAAGGCUUAAAUGCACUUUUGGCCCCCUAUAUUUGUCGUCGUAGCCAUUUUGACCCCUAACAAAAAAAAUGCAAUUUUUACCCCCUAAUUUUACCUUGUUUAGGAAAAUAUAUGCUCUUUUGGCCCCUUAUCUUUACAAAAAAGUUGCGAUUAUGGCCCCUUUUUUGGGACAUGUGGCGGCUUCUCAGUAUAGUUGGGAAAAUUAGUGGGCCAAAAUUGCAUUGUUUUUGUUAGGGGGCCAAAAAUUUUACAUGACAAACAUAGGGGUCAAAAGUGUGUUUAAGCCAUUAAUUAAUGUAUGUGCUGUAUUUAAUUAACAUUAGGGUAAAUCUCUCUCUUACAAAAUUAAUUAAUUUACCAUUGUUUUAUUUAUUUAUUUAUUUUGUUAACAUUCUGGUUCCUAGGAUAAAUGAGACCAAGUAAUUUAAAGUUCAACUAAGAUAUAAGUAAAGUUUUGCAAAUAAUUGUUCUUCUUCAGGAUUCGAACUCGGAUUCUCUCGAACGAUUCAUCAUUUGAUGGAGUUCAUUAAUCACUUGAGUUCAAUCCUCUCUAUUCAAAUUAGGUUAAUUUAAUUUUAUUAAACGAUUUUAUUUUCUUUCUUCAAAAAAAACAUUCUUCACUUAGACAACAAUCAUAUGAUAAUUGAAAAUGAGGUUGGGCAGUUCAAUUUAUUUAAGCUAAGGAUUAAAAAAGUUGGAGGUCUAAGGUUUAAACUUAGGCGAGAAGAAAAAUAAUAAUCUAAUAACUAAUUACUAACCAUAGUCAUUUAAAGAAAAUGAAUUAAUUGAAUAUAAUCACACGUGUGUCUGUUGUGUCUUUGUUUGACAAGGACAAGUGUGUUAGACAAUAGACAUGCCUUCGUCGGUGCUACAAAUUUUUUAUUAGUGUAGCUAGCAUAGGCCGUUUAUUGCUCAAAAUUGAAAACAAUUGGACUCAACUCAUUCAUGCUUAUAUACACUAAUAUAUCACCUAUUCUUCAUGAUACCAUGCAUGUUGGAAUCUCUGCUUCAACUGAUAUACUUGCUUGCUAGCUUUCUCAUUACAUCCUAGGGUGGAGCUUUUAAAGUCAAUGGAACAGCACCACCCCUUGAUUUGGGUUCACUCCCGCAACUUCUUCAAUAGCUGGUAUUUCAGUUACAGUUACAGCUUCUGUUAUUGCAUUGCAUGUGUUAUAUAUAGUAUUUGGUAUUUACCUUUAAAAAAAAUCAAGAAUGCGAAUGUAAUAUAAGCAUGGGAGCUUGCUGUUGGGCCACAUUGAUACUCCUAAGUCCUAUCAAGAGCUCAACAAAGCUACAAAAGGUUUGAAGGUUUCAAGGAGAAAGAGUUAUUUGGGACGGGUGGUUUUGGCAGAGUUUACAAAGGAACAUUGUCAAAAUAAAAGAUCCAAGUAGCUGUUUAGAAAAUGAACCAUGAAUCAACACAAAGGCCGAGGGUAUUCGUGUCUGAAAUCACCAACAUGGGCUCGCUUUGCCACCGUAGUUUGGUUCAGUUAUUCGGGUGGUGUUGCCGCAAAGGUGACCUACUUGUGUAUGAUUUCAUGGCUAAAGGAAGCUUAGACUGGUAGUUUUUUGAUGAGGCAAAAUCCAACUUAUCUAUCACAUUGUAUUUUGUCUGAGUGUGUGGAUGAGAAUGGAGGCUCGUAGGUUGUGAUACUCUCUGGAGCCAUGAAACGACAGCGCAUGCUGCUAGGUUGAUGGAAGAGGUAGAGGGAUUUGAGGAGUGCGUGUUAAUGCAGGUCUCGGUAAAAUGAUUGAUCAUCUCUCUUUACAUUCUUCAACGUACAUCAUGCGAUUUAUAUCUAUCUUAUUUCAGAUUUGAGUUGCAUUUUGAAGUAAAACUAGUGUUCAUAACACAUGCAACGGAAUAAAGUUUGGAUCUAUUUUGCGCUUAAAUUAUAAAAUUGUAAAUUAGAUACUAAAAGUGUACCUUUGUAUCAAUUCUUGAAGCAUGAAAAAUUCUUCAAUGAUAUGAAGACUCUACGUGUAUCCACACCGAGACCAAUUCUUACGCUCAACCUUUGAGUAGUGGAACUAGAAAACUAGAGCAUAUUUCUUGUUGUUGUGUUGUUUUGAUCAAAUCAUUUAAGGUCUAUUUAUAGGUCACACACACUACUAUCAAAUAGAAUGUGUUAACUCAUCUUAGUGAUUCUUUUAAAUUCAUAUGGUCAAUCAUUGUAAAUGCAAUUAACAUAUGUUAAUGCUAAUUUACUUAAAAAAAAAAAAAAAAAACGUGUUUGACUAAUAUGAAGACAUUGAUCAUCUUUAACUUCAUAUAAUUGUGUUUAAUACACAUAAAGAUCAUUUCCAUAUGUGUACACAAUUGACCAUAUGAAUAAAUUAAGAAUCUCCGACAUACAAUUUAAUUUUUUUUCAUUUAUUUCAAAAAUAAAUAAUUAUAAUAUGCUCACAUAUAUUAUUUGUAUUAUUUGUAUUCUUUGUACUAGCAAAAAAUACAAUAAUAUUCCACUUAGAAAAUUUAUAUUUUGAUUAAUUAAAUUCUUCAAUUUAAUCAUCAAAUAAUAUAGUUAUUCUUUAGUAAGAAUUAGAGCACUCGUUUGCGUGUGACCCUAUAGGUUCAAUACUAAACUGGUAAUAGAUUAAUCAAAUUAAUAUAUUAAUCAAGGUAGGCGUCUAGUAACACUCCUUAACGUCCAGGUAGUAUGAAGUAUUAUUUUACUUUCAAGAACCAAAUAGAAUGACAUAAUAUUUUUCUUCCGUCGUUACAACUCUUGUUAACUCUAGAGCAUGGUACAAUUGUCAAACUCUAAUAAGUUAACAUAUAUGACUUAAGAAACUCAUUUCUUCUUUCAUUUAGUUUCCCUGGCCAGGGUUUUGAUUUUAUCAUAGAGUUCAAACUCAUUACCAAGAGUUGACGGAUCCCAUCUUGAUUAGUCAUAAAUUAUACAAGCAUUUAAUCGUAUCCAAUAUCCUUUCAACUAGCACCCUAAGGUAUUAGGUGUUCAUAAUCAAAAUACAAUAAAUAACAUGUUAAUUACUAUGACAAUCUCAGGUCAAAGAAAAUUAUUAUAUUCUUUCUUGAGAACUUUUCUAUUGACAUUUUUGUGGUAAUAUCGACCAUUAGAAAUUCUCAGUUGAGUCAGUUCAAUGAUCAUAUCACUAUAUGCAUCAUCUAUAUAUGUAAUUUAAUAAAUGAGAUAUAUUAAUCUUUAUCCAAUAAAGACUAUCACAUAUAUAUUGAUCUAUCCGAAUUAUUGAUGUCCUACUCACAAUAAUCAUACGAUCAAGAACAAUUUAGAUUAAAAAAUAAUAAAAUACUUGUUUCUCAUUAUCGUAAUCUCUAUCAUGAUAACAAGUCCAUAGUUUUAAUCAAGGACUUUAUCAAAUUAACUAUUUCACUAAACAGUAAAUAAGAUAAUGAAUAUUUGUUAAGUCUAAAAUUUGUUACAUAAUUGAUUGGAUCUUGGGCAUCUCCAACACAUUUUGCAUUGGAGGAUUUGUACUCAUCCAUUUGUUCAUGUCAUUAGUAUUAUACAAAUUGUAAUUAAAUUGAGCAUUGAUAGAAGAGUUUCCUAUGAACCUCAAUGACUAUAUUUUUGAGCAUGUGAGUAAUUAAAUUGUUCUUCUCAAUACCAUUCAGUUUUUUGUUUAUUUAUUGCACCUCAGUAAAAGAGUAAGGAGUUUUAUGGCCAAACAAUCGAGGCGAUUUCUUAAUCUACAGUCGUGCUAAUCGAGGCUUUGGAAGACAAUUACAACCAAAGAAUGAAAACUGAAAUUAACUAAGACAUUGUCCGACUAAAAAAGAAAAGGAAGAAGAAGAUGAUCAGAGGAAUCAAGAAGAGAGAGGUUGACUUCACACAUUCCAUGCCUUACUGCAGGCUUGCUUUGUGUGAGUCAGAUAGGUUCUUGCUUGCUUGGCUCUGUCGUGCUAGCAGGUUCAUUACCUUCCUCUUUAAAUCAACCUUAAGGUUGAAUAUAGGGUCCUGCUCUUUACAUUCCUGGUUGGGCAUAGGCAAUGGAUGUAGAAGACCAUCACGAGGAAUGUUUUCUUUUUUUUGUUGUUGUUGGGAAAUGACACACCGUCGCCCAAAUUGUAAAAUUGAACCACCACUCUAGCAAUUUGUUCCGGAAAAUACAUUGUUUGAUUUGUAAAAUUGUUGGAGGAACAAGACAAAUCAAACUGAAAUUUUUGUCCUUCGCCAAAUCACCGCACAACUUUUUGUAGUACAUAUAGGUUGUUUAAAAUAAUAAAAUAACAUUUUGUACAUCAAAAAUCGUACAAGACCAAAAAUUAUUUAAUACAUAAAAAUUUAUCUUAUGUUCUUUUAUCUUGUGCUGUGUUGUUCUAUUUUGUGGUGUUCUGUCCAGUGCUUACUGUUUUGAACUUAUAAGAUAUAUCGAUAAAAAAUAAGUUUGGAAAUUUACUUAUAAUCAAAACGGGUUAUGAACCGAAUCCGAACCGGUUUGGACCCAUUUCUCAUAAAAAUAAAAAUAAAAAUAAAAAUAUGUGGUUUGUUUACUAUCCAUAAAAAUCUGAAGUUAUUUUUUUUGUUUAUAACCAUAAAAAUCAUUUUAAAAGAAAUUAGUUUUAACGUAUACAUGUGUUACCUUUUUGUUUUUCAAAAAAAUAGAUUUUGACAAAAUUCUUUUUUGUUUUUAAGAAGUUAAAUUAACCUAUCAAAAUUGACACGAGAUAAUCGAAUUUGACGUGAACACAUUCCUAGAUCCCAAGUCAUAUCAAUAGGCCAACUCAAAUAAAUAGGUAGAUUUUGAAAAAGUUAAUUUUAUUAGUAUUUCAUUUUAUGGGCAAAAUAAUCUUUUUGGAUAAAGUUAUUUUUCUAAAAAUACUAAACAAACAUUUAACAAAAAAAACUGAAACAAACGGGCCUUAGUUAACUACGCACACCCCUGUCCAUAACCAUUUCUCCACACACAUAAGAAACUAGGGUUUCAGUAUUCAUUCACUGUGUGCGUGUGUUCUUGCCGCCCCUAGCUAAAUCUGCAAACAUGGCUACCCAAAUGAGCAAAAAGCGAAAGGUUAGUUCUCAGAUUCGUUAAUCUUAAUCCAAUUCUUCUCUAUUACCAGUAAUUCUUAAUUUGAUUUGGUUUGUGUUGUUGCAGUUCGUCGCUGACGGAGUUUUCUUCGCUGAAUUGAAUGAGGUUUUGACAAGAGAGCUUGCUGAAGAUGGUUAUUCUGGUGUUGAAGUUAGGGUUACCCCUAUGCGCACUGAGAUCAUCAUCAGGGCUACUCGUACCCAAGCUGUUCUCGGUAACUCAUUUCAUCAAUCUUCUUUCAAUCUGAUUUAUUUUUGUUUCAUUUUCGGUUUUUUCUUAUGAUUUAUGCAAUUGUUGUAUAUGGUUACAUGAUUUCGUCAUUUUGAUUUCAUUUGUUUUUCCCUAAUGAUAAUGACAAUGAUUUUUUUGUUCUUGUUUUGUUUUGGAUUUUAUAUAUGAUUGAUAUAUGAAAAUGUUAUUUAUGGUUAUGAAUAUGUGAUUUUAGUUUUAUUUGUAUUUUUCUCCUCUAAUUAUGUAUGAUAAUGAUUUUUUACUUAGGUUUUUUCUAGAUGUUAUGUAUGAUUAUGUAUAUUAGGUUUUUGUCUAGAUGUUAUGUAUGAUUGAUUAUGAAUAUGUGAUUUUAGUUUUAUUUGCAUUUUUUCCUUUCAAUAUGUAUAAUGAAAAAAAAAAUGCAUCAUAAUGAUUUUCUUACUUUUUUUUUUUUUUCUUUUUCUUCUAGUGAUAUAUUAUUUUUGUUUUAAUUUGGGUUUUAAUCAUGUGAUAAAUGAUAUAUGAUUUGCGUUUUAUUUUGCGUUUUUGUGAUUUAUAGGCGAGAAGGGAAGGAGGAUUAGAGAGCUGACCUCAGUUGUGCAGAAGAGGUUCAAGUUUCCUGAAAACAGUGUUGAGCUUUACGCUGAGAAGGUCAACAACAGGGGACUUUGUGCCAUUGCUCAGGCUGAGUCUCUCCGCUACAAGCUUCUCGGCGGUCUUGCUGUUCGCAGGUAUAUAAACAUAACAUGUAACAAUGCUUGAAAUUAUGCAAUUGCUUUUAAUGAAAUAAAUCUCACAGAUAUAUAUAUAUAUAUAUAUAUAUAUAUAUAUAUAUAUAUAUAUAUAUAUAUAUAUCUGUCGAAGUUAAAUAUUAUUAGGAGAAACAAUUGGAACUGAUUCUUUUCUGUGAUUAUGAAUUUGUACCAUAUUUGUUUAUGUUUAGCUAUGGUGGAAAAGUAAAACCCAUUCUAGGUUCUUAAAAUGUUCAGCAUUCAGUUUUUUUCUUUGUAAAAUAGAUCAUGAAUAGUCAACAUGAACCAUAUAUAUAUAUAUAUAUAUAUAUAUAUAUAUAUAUAUAUAUAUAUAUAUAUAUAUAUAUAUAUAUAUAUAUAAAUUUCAACACUCAAAGCUGUCUUCGAUGUUUUUUGUAUUAUUGUUUCUUGAUUUUUUAAUUUUAAUAGAGUAUUGAAGUAUUUGUAGACUUUUUUUAAAGAGGACUAAACUAUGCUGUGCAUUUUUCUUGGGCAUUAGAAUGAAUCUUUAAUCUUGAUUUAAACUAGUCUGGCCAUAUAUGCUUUAUGAGUCCCAAAUUAGGGUGGCAUUGAAAAUUUUUGCGACUGCUUUGUCCUGUGAUUGGAUACAAGACAUGUGACUUUACCAUUUCUUUAGACUAAUUUUCUCUCUUGCUCAAAACAUUACUCACCAUCUCCUUAUUCUGAAAAACAAAAUGUGAUGUUUGCUGAUUACUAUCUAACCUGUUUUAUGUUUUGCUAUGUGCUAUAAAACUGAAAUCAUUUUUCUUUUUUUAUUCCAAUGUUAUUUGUUGACUAAUUGUAUUACAGUGAAGUUCUAUUAGCUUCAACAUAUGCUCAUAUUAAUUGAUACACUUAAUCUGCAACUACUGUAACAUGGUGAUUUUCUUUUUGGAGAUUGCAUGUUUUCGGUCCACAUCUUAAAUCCCUCUUUUUGUACCGAUACAUUUCAAUUUUCCUUUUACUGGUGUGUAUUUCCAAUGGUGGUAAUUAAAAAUUUCCCAUUUUUGAUUUUCUUGAAUACAAUUUUGUGCUAACAUAAUAAACUGUGUCUCUAACUAUUUCUUUCAGGGCCUGCUAUGGUGUGUUGAGGUUUGUCAUGGAAAGUGGUGCCAAGGGUUGUGAGGUUAGUUACACAUGCACUGCUUUGAAAUCCUAUUUGUUGUAUUGUGAUCUGUAAUGAAUAUUGGUUGUAAUUGCUGUAUCAUUUGAGCAGGUUAUUGUCAGUGGAAAAUUGAGGGCCCAAAGAGCCAAAUCCAUGAAGUUCAAAGACGGUUACAUGAUUUCUUCUGGACAACCAGUCAAGGACUACAUUGACUCUGCUGUGAGACAUGUUCUCCUUAGACAGGUUAGCUUAUCAUCUAAGAACCUUAUUGGUUUUCUUUUGCCUCUUGCAUUUCAUGUUGGUCAUUCAUUUGGUUUGUUAUGGAUUUAUGUUGCUAAUGUUUGUGUCGUUUGUGUUGUAGGGUGUUCUCGGCAUUAAGGUGAAGAUCAUGCUCGACUGGGAUCCUAAAGGAAAGCAGGGCCCUAAAACUCCCCUCCCUGAUAUUGUCACCAUUCACACUCCAAAGGAAGAGGAGGAGUACAUCAGGCCUGCUGCUGUUGUGGCCAAUGAUAUCGAGGUCCCUGUCCCAGUCCCUGUUGUUUGAAAAUGUUUCGAUUUGCUUUGGAGUAGACCUUUUAAUUAGCGAUGCGUCUGGUUUGACUGUUUUGUUACAUUCAGUAAUUGUUAUCAAAGACUUCUGCAAUUUUUGUAGUUUUCAGUGUUUGUUGUCCAAGACCUUCGCAAUUUUUGUAGUUUCAGAUUUUCUAAAAUAUUGUUAUACUAAGUUGCAACUUUGCAAGUAUUUAAGCAUUAAUUAAUUGUUAUUUUUUAAUAUGAUCUUACUAAAGAAAAUUUCCCACUAACAUCUUUAUGUUCAUUAUCUCAAAUUUGCAUCUCAGUUUUGUUGAUGCAAUUUUGAGAAUUUUACAAAGUCACAUGCAUUGUAGCAUUUUCAAGGAUUGUAUGAGCAUUUGCAUGUUUAAUUGUUCUAGAGGAUUGUUGGGGCAUUUGCAUGUUUAGUUGUUCAAUUCAAUUUUUAAUAAUAAGCUAUUCUGUGUUUGUAAAAUAAUCUCAAUGUAGUUUAAGGGGUACCACAAAAUGUUUGUAAUUCUUGUAAGAUCGCAUCUAAUUUUGCUUGUAAAAUUUUAAAAGCAAAAUCUAAUUUUAUUUAUGAGUCGAACAUAAAUAUUGAUGUUUUAUCUCACCUCAAUGUGUUUUUUCAAUCAGCAAUUAAAUUUGCUUGCUUAUGCAGAACCAAAAAAAUUAGGGGACAUAAAUCUAACUAGAAUAAGAAGAAAAAAACUCAUUACAUAAAAUAUUUUAUUUUUAUAUUCUCCAAUAUAGUCUUUAUUUGUUACAUGACAGCUUCAAUAACCAACAAUACGUAUGUUUGAGAAAGUGUUACCUUGUUGGUCAGAUAUGAGAACAUUGGGUAUAGCAGAACCACUUGAGCGUCAUGUAAGAAUGGUGGUCGAUAUCUCACGGUGUUGGUGGUGAGUUAGGGUUACAAUAAAAACAAUUUUUUUGUACAAAUAGUUUUAAGUUAAAAUUGUUUUAAAUUUAGUAAAAAAUACUAACUGAAACUCAUUUUACCGACUUGUAUAUAGUUUCAAAUCUAAAUUUGAAAAUACUUUUUUUCAAUUUGAAGUGUUUUCAAACAUUUUAAUUCAACAAAAAAAUCACUAUAAGAGAUAAAAUAGUUUUACGUCAAAUCAAAACUCAUGUUAUUACCACCAAAGCUAUUUUGUGAUCAUCAUUUAAAAAUAAAUUUCUUGUUCUAUUUUUUGGAUAGACAAAAUGACAAUACACGUUAGAAACUUAUACACACAAAUAAAAGAGUCAAGGUUUGAACCUUAAUCAUGAUAUCCAACCUACCAAUUUUGACAUUUUUACCUUGUUCCUCUUUUAAUUAUGCUAAAAUAUAUAUUUAAAAAAUCAAGUGAUAAAACUAAUUGAUUAAUAAACUUCAAUGUCUCCGUGAACUUAACUCAGUUGGUAGGGACAUUGACACAUUACAUAAUAUAAUUUUGGUAGAUAGACGAGAUGACAAAGUCAUCAUAAACUCACACACAAAAUGGAGGUACCGGGGGUUCGAUCAUGACAUCUGGCCUAACGAUUUCGGCAUUUUUGCCAGUUGAGUUAGGACUUAUAUAACCUCGGACAUCUUUCUUGUUCACCUUAAAAGUGAAUUUUUAACUACUAAAUUAUUUAAGUAAAAAUAAACUUCAACUAAACGAACAAAAGAAAGAGUUUAAAGAAAAAAAAUAUUAAAAAAAAAUAAAAAAUGCAUAGUACCCUAAAAUAACUCACCGUUUGCUUGUAUUUGGGUUGGACUGAGAUAAUUUCGACCCAUGUCCAUGACCCGAAGCCCAAACUCCAAAAUUAGGGUUUCCACUCUUCUUCGCCGUUUAUGAACCCAUUUCUUCUAUAUAAGUAUCAAAAUGUCGCUAUGAGGUUGGAAAAAAGAAAUCGCUCUUCAGAACCUUAAUUCAGACCCAAAAAAAUUAUUUCCACUCUUCUUAUGUUGUUAAUAUUGAUUUUCUUUUAUGUGUUUCAUGUCUACAAACAUUUGUGAAUAUGUUUUUUGUUUAAGAUUAGAUUGUUUCAUUUUGUCAUCUAUAAAGCAGAUCGGCUACUUUGUGCCAUGUUUGUGUCGGAAGAUGACUAAAUCAUUUUAUAUCCUCUGUAUGUUACUAUAACUCAUGAAUUUAAUUUAUAUUCAUGGGUUUACAUUUGUGGGUACAUUUUUUUGUUUCACUUGUUUUUCCUUCUGCUGGGUUUGCUUCUAUAUCUUUUUCUUAUGAAAUUGUUUUUGUUAUAACACUAGAUCUGUCAUCUACAAAGCAGAUUGGAAUUUAUUUGCCAAUUUUGUGUCGGAAGAUGACUAAAUCAAUUUAUUUCCUCCAUUUCAUAAUUUCAUGGAUUUGUUAUAUAUUCAUUUGGUAAUGUUGAGGGAUAGUAUAUUUUCUUUAGCAUUUUAAAAAUUGGAAUCCUUAGGACUCAAUUGUUGCAACUGGGUUUCUCAAUGCUAUUGUUUAACAAACUCUUGUUUGAGGGGUUUGGGUGAGAGACAUGUAUUGAGAGGUAAUCUUGCCCCUAAUGCUAUGUUAUAUAUGUAUCUUUCCCUUUACCCUUUCAAACAAUAAUUUGUUAAUUGCUGUUCCAAUCUUCUCAUACCUUAGAAGAAGGCACUGAGAAGAAUUCCGCACAAUACAAGCCUUUACUAGUAGGACAAUUAAAAGAGAACAUGGAAGUUAAAAGAGAUUCUCCCAUUCAUUUAUCAGCUAUUGUUAUCUUUUUAUCAUACACCCUCUCUCCAAAAUUAGCUGUUCUCUUUCUUAAUUUAUUUGUUUCAAACUAUUUGUCGUUAUUUAUACGGUUAAAUAUUUUUUUUUAUCCCUAUAAAUAUACAAUCCUCUCUAAAAAUUUUCAUUUCAACUUUUAGGAUGAAUUUAUAAAAUUAUCUUUUGUUACCAACAUGGGAAAAUUAAAAGAGCUUUUUCAUGACAAAAAAAAGAAUUUUUUACAAUAAAAUAAAUUUCAUUCAUUCAAAUGUUAAAAUAAGCAAAAUAUAAUCAAAAGCAUCCAUAUUUGAGAUCAUAACUAAUGAUUAACAUAGACAAACAUACGAUAAUACAUAUAAGUAAGAGAUUCUUUCACAUAUGAUUGAACAUUAAUAACAAUGUAAGAUCCUUGGUCUUUAAUACCAUCCAGCUACGGACAAAGAUAUUUGCAAAUGUUUGCUCAAUUCGACUAUAAGAGGUCUCAUGUAUGACCAAUUACAUCGCAUGCUCAUAAAUAAAAGCACAAACCCCUGUCAAGCAUUUCAACAAACACAUGAGAGAUACACUUAACACAACAAAUAGUAACAAAACAUGACAGCGAAAUCAUAAAAAAAACCAUCAUGACCUAUAGAUCUCAAACUAUGUAUGUAUCGAUGGAGUAUCCAAAGUCCGUCCUUGUCAUAGUGUCGAGGCGGGGCGGUUGGAGGAUGUUUCAACAUCUGACAUGGCAGCUAUUAAGCCGAAAUAAAGAGGUGGCGGUUGGGGUUGGAGAUGAUCCAUGGAAGAAUGAAUUAUAAGAGUCCGGAUCCGUUGGAAAUAGCUUUUGACUACGAAAGACUGCAACUCCAUGCGUGGAAAUUGGCAAAGUUGAUUCGGUGUGAGAAAAUUAUAGCAACUGGUUGAGGAAUAGGGGAAAGUUAAGUUGGUUAGAGGAAAACCCACCAUCAUGUGAAAUUGGGAAUGCAUUUAAAGCAUGAAGGUAUUGAAACUAAAAAGGAAUCUUAGAGUUGAACGAAGAGAGUAAUAAAUGGUGCAUGGUUAGGCACGGAUGAUUGGGGCUAGAGAAAUACUAACAACACAUAUUACCAAAUUUAUAUGGGACCCAUGUGAAUUUUAACCAAUUAGAAGGUGCUAGAAUGUGUGUUGCUAGCCUUCCUCUUGAGGCAUUGACGGCGCCACUAAUCGUACCUAAUUAGAAGGUGGUUGUCGGUGCUUUCUUUAAUGCGGUGGUUCAUGGUGGUGAGAGUACUUCAGUGAGCGUUGGACCGAAUGAGGGGUGUACCUGCAGACACUCCGAUGCUCAAGCCAGUAGAGGUUCAUAAUGGAGUGGAGUAAUGGUUGUACAAUUGUACUAUGUCCUUUUUCCUGCGCUCUUUAGUGGAUAAGCAUCCAAUGCCUUCUAAUUCCUCUGAAAUAGCAAUUGCUCCAGGCUUUCAUUCAUUCUGCAAUGAUAUGCAUUCAGAAUAAUAACUUUUAACUAACUUCAGCUUCCAGUCUUCAGACUCUGAUAAACUCCAGCUUCUGAGGUUCUUCAGAUUCUGAUGACGUCAACUUCUAGUAGACAACUUUUGAUGGUCUUCAGAUGCUCUUUGUCCUCAGACUCUGUCUUGAAUCUUGCAACACACGCUUCCUUGUUGUAAAUUUCAUUGCUCUCAUUUGUUCUUUCAGAACCUAUACUUGAAUUAUAAUUUGACUAUGGUUCUGCACACUUGAACAAAUAUUAACAUAUCCAAUUGACAUUUUUAAUAUCUUGUUAUCAUCAAAACUUAAAGGUAAUAAUGGUAAACACAUUUUGUUCCAACAGGACGCAAUUGGAACUUACUUUUCCAGAGAGUAGUUCUCUUGUGUGUUUUUCCCCUUUUCUUUUUUCUGCUUGUUUCCUUUGUUCCUUUGCCUUGUAAAAAAAUAAUUAAAAAUUGCUCCCAUUAAAUGGAAAUUUAUACUAUAAAAAGAGUAUUUUUUUUCAGGAAUUUUAUAAAAUCAAAUGUGUAAAUGCAUUUGAGAUGAAAUUCUAAAUGAUAUUUACCAUACUUUUUUAAAUAUAAAGACACGUAAAUAACAAUUUUAAUUUGUAGAUGUUAAUAAAUCUUUAAUUUUUCCAAUAUAUAAUAGUAUAGUGUUUAUAAUGUCAAAUAUUUUGCUUAAUGAUAAUAAUGUUAUUAUUUUAUUACUUUUGCAUUGCUAAAAUUUUGUAUAAAUAUUUAUCAUAUAAAAUAUUUCCCUUGCUAAAAUAAUGUUAUUAUUAUUAUCAUAUAAAAUAUUUAUCAUAUAAAAUUUUGUAUAAAUAUUUAUCAUAUAAAUGUUAUUUUUUGGAGAAGUUAUUAUUUAUCAUAUAAUAUUUUAUAUGAUAAAUAUUUUAUAUGAUAAUAAUGUUAUUAUUUUAACAGUAUAGAAGUUAUUAUUUUGCUUAAUGAUAAUAAUGAUAAGAAUUAAAAACUGACGAAUAUUAAAACAUAUAAUUUUUUAAAAAUGACAUAUAAUAAAAUAUAGAGUAACUAGCUAGGGUUUUACCUUGAUUUGUACCUUAUGACAAAGAAGCAAGAGAACAAGAUUCAGUAAUUCAAAGUUAUUAUAGAAGAGCUAGAUAAAUACAUAUGAGUAGGAGAAGUUGAGAGGCAUGAAUUAUGCAACUAAGCUAAUCCACUAGAAUCUAUGGUUACAAUAAUUGUUCAGAGUAUCUCCUACCACCCUUACCAUAACCGUUCAGAGGAUUCAGUAAAUGACUAUCAGUACUGAUAAUCAAAUUAGUGUUAAGGCUUCAAAUAAAUUUUCCUCAUAAUUAUCUUCAAAACAUUAUGUUUAUGCACUUUUCCUCAUAAUUUCUGUGUUUUCGUAUGUUAUGUGACAACCUGCAAAUAAUCUAUACUCACGGGUACCGCAAUAAUCUAUUUUUAUCACACCUUAAUUGUAUCAUGUCAUUAUUAACUAGUGCAUACAUUUUAAUCAUUUUUCAAUUUACAGUAAAAUAUACUUUUUUGUUCAACUCCAAAAACAGGAGAAAGUUAUACACACAAAGCAACAAUAAAUAAUUAAAAUAAAAUAAUAUUACUACACAAUAAUUUCAUUCAAACAAAAAAGAUUUAAGAAUAGUGUGUUGAAAGAAUUGCCAUAAAACUUCAUGCACUUCAAUAGUUUCUUAACAUAUAAAAAAUUAACACAGCGUGAUAAAAGAUAGUUUAUUGAUGAUAUUCCGAGUGUGAUUAAAAAAUUGAUUUGAUUUUACACUGAAUUAUUUUUUAGAAAAAUACAAUUAAUUCAAAUUGUAAAACAAAGACGGUAUUGUCAAUUCUGAUUUAUUUGAUUUGAUCAUAUAACACAUGUCAACUUGAUAUACUUACACUUUCAAAAAAAAUAAUAUUUAUUAUAGAUUGAAAAAAGUAUAUAAAAAAAUUAAUUGAAAUAUGAUAAUUUAUGUGAUGUAUUUUAUAAAGAUUCAGUCAAAUAAAUGUUUAUUAAAAAUAUAAAAUAAAGGUCAUUGAAAAAAUUCUCAAUAAUACAAUUGUUUAGUCUACAACUAUUUAAUAAAAACAGUAAUAUAUUGAUAUUAACUUUUAGAAUAGAUAACGUUAUCAAUUAUGGAUAAGAUGAUUGAACAUAUAUUAUGACUGGUUUAAGCAAAUAUGAAUUUUGAGUUGGUAUAAGUCGGCUAGUUCUUAAUAAGUUGAUUAGUUCAAGUCAAUAUUUGAUUUUAUGUGUUUAUUGAAACUUUUGACUUAAGUUUGCUAUAUUUCUAAAAGAAACUAUUUUAGAUAAAGAAAAUAUAUGUGCCGUAAAAUAAAACUUAUAAAAAUUUUAUGGUAAAAUACUAUAUAUAUAUUAUUACGUAGUAAAAUAUAAGAGUCUCAUUUGGUAAUUUAAUUGGAGAUUCAGGUUCAAAUUUAAUCUUGAGACUAUAACAUUGUUAAAUCUUUUGUGAGAAAAUUUUGUUUGUCAUUGUGGUCGUAUCCGAUUUGGGAUUAGUGUAUAUAGUUUUUUUUUUUUUUACAAGAGAUUACACACAAAUGAUACUCAUUUCACACACACAAAAAAAAUUAUAGAUACUUUUCUAUAAAGAAAGAUCACAUUAUUCUAGAUACAUUUCUAAAACUUCUUUUACCUUGACAAUGGAUAUCAAUUAAACUCUUAAAAAUAUGCAUGUCAUUUAAUAGAUUAUAUAAUAUAUUUAUUAUUUUUGUUGUGAUUGUUAGCUAUAAUGUAACAAUCAUUCUUAAUCAAUAGUAAAAAUUAAGAUAAUAAAAAUAUUUAAGAUAAAAAAAAUUAACUGAAUUAAUUUGGUGUUUACACAUUUUUGUUUUGGUCAAAUAGCCUAGUGGUUAUAAAUUCACUUUUUGAGAUGAAUAAAUGGCAUGUUCAUGGUUUGAACACUGGUUCAUACAUAUAUUAUGCAAUGUCACUAUCUGAACUAAACUCACAGGAAUAAUUUGGUGUUUACACAUUAUACAUUGUCUUGCGUGACAAACCAUUUUUUUAAUAAUAAUAAUAAUAAUGUCGAUAAGAAUUGAUAAAACAAAUGAUGAUUUUUUUUAUUUGAACACAAUUUUUACAUAAUAAACUUAUUAGUAAAAAAAACGUGAGACUAUUUUCCUUUGAUAGUCACUCCUAUUUUUCAUCUUAGCUGAGAACAAAACCAUUUCUGUGGCGAAUAUGUUCUCUCUUGGCCUGGAGCAGGGAGGGGAUGGGUGGAGGUGGAGACGUAGGUUGUGGGCUUGGGAGGAGAUUUUAUUAGAGGAGCUUAGGGCUUUACUGCUUGAUGUUUCUUUGUUGCCUAAUGUUUCAGACAGAUGGUUGUGGUUACCUGACCCUUUGGGAGGUUAUGCUGUUCGAGGAGCCUAUGAUCUUUUAACAGAGGGUGCCAAUCCUCUUUUACACAGCGCUUUGGAGCUAGUUUGGCAUCAUCAGGUCCCCUUGAAGGUCUCGAUUUUUGCUUGGAGACUUCUUCGGGAUCGGUUACCCACAAAAGCAAAUUUGGCAGCUCGUGGUGUUCUUCAUUCAGAGGCGACACUUUGUGAUACAGGAUGCGGUCAUGUUGAAACAGCCGAACAUUUGUUUUUAUUUUGCCCAAAUUCUGUUUUAUUGUGGCAGCAGGUGCGCAAUUGGCUAGGUUUUAUGGGGGUGGAUCCUAAUAAUCUUCCUGAUCAUUUGGUGCAGUUUACUUAUUUGGCAGGUGUUGGUAAAGCUAAAUGUUCCUUUUAACAGCUAAUCUGGAUUCUAUGUACUUGGAUUGUGUGGAACGAACGUAAUAACCGCCUGUUUAAUAAUGUUGUAACGGACGUCCCGAAGUUGCUGGAUAAAAUUAAAUUGUUAUCAUUAGGGUGGCUGAAAGCUAAAAAAGCCAUGUUUAUUUAUGGUACUCAUAUGUGGUGGUCAAGUCCUAUAACAUGUUUAGGAAUUGGCUAACCACUACUAGAUUCUCUUACUUUGGACUUUGUAACACUUUGUAUCUUGUAGUAGUUUCCUAGGCACACCUUGUGCUUGGAAAUUGCUUCUGUUGUGGUAAUAUAAUCCCAUUUUGAUUUGUUCAAAAAAAAAAGAUAGCAACGAAAAUAAACAUAUUAUAUAAAUUCAUAGACAACUUACAACAACUAUUUCAUAUAAUUUUUAUGCUUUCAUUACAUUUUUUUUAAGGAAUAUGCUUUCAUUACAUUGAAAAGUUUCUUUAAACCGAUUACAAUUUUUUUAAAUGACUUACCCUAAAUGUUUUAGUAGUAAAAGUAAAAAAAAUAAAAAUUAACAGAUAUUUUAGAAAUUUUAUAGUAAGAAAAAAAUCUGAAAAGUACAACUAAUUCUAAUUUUCUCAAUUCUUAUUCAUAUUACCUUUUAUCAUAUUGUACCUUCUAACUCUUGCUUAAAAAAUAAGUUUAAUAGCAAUUUUCGCCCCCUAACUUUUACGAAGUUGCGAUUAUGACCCCUAAGAAAAAAAAACUACAAAACCGCCCCUUAAGUUUUGGCCCCAAGGCCAAAUUUUGGUAAAAAACAAAAAACAAAAGAAAUAUCACGUGGCACCUCACUUAGGGUGCCACGUCAGCGUAGACCGAGUCAAAAUUGGCCUUGGGAGCCAAAACUGCCACAGAUGCAAAACUUAUGGGGCGGUUUUGUAGUUUUUUUCUUAGAGGGUCCAAAAUUGCAACUUUGAGAAAGUUAGGGGGUUAAAACUGCUAUUAAGCAUAAAAAAUAAUAUGCCAUAUCUACAUAUGAUUUUUUUAGUUCUUAUCCAUUCACCUUUGAUAUUGUAAUAUACCUUAUCUACUAGGAUGUACAUUGCUACAUGUCAUUGUACUUAUAUAAUUAGUGCAUGCCCAUGUAUUUAUAUAUUGAAAAUCAAACUCUUUGUCAAACCAACAAUAUUAAGGAUUACUAAGACUCAUUGCACCUUAUAUACCUCAUAUAUAGUUACAGUCAAUAUUUCUUUCGAUUUUUAUAAAAGAUGUAUAAUUUGAAAGUUCUCAAGUUUUCUCGCGUCUUCUCCAAUUCUUUCAAUGGCCCUCUUCAGGUUAUGUUUGUUCUUUUCUCUUCCAUUUCAUUUUAAACAAUGAGGUUGGUUUCUCCUUGUUAAUUCUGUUUGUGUUGUUUACAAAAAAAAAAAAAAAAAACGAGCUUUAUUUAUUGCAACUGAAUUUAUAUAUUAAUAAAACCAUGUUCUUGCCAACAUGGUAUUGAAAAAGUUGGUAACACAAGUUUUUCCUACAAAAAAGAAACUGAAUUUGAUUCAGAAAAUUGCAUUGUUUGAGAGGCAAUCCAGCCCCAUAAAAAAAUGGAUGUCAUGUUGUGGGUUCAAGAAUUACUCUCAUAGCAUACCAAAUUGGCUUAUACCAUGGGGAUACCCUAUGAUGCCUACUGAGGGGGUCAAAAACUAUGGUGGGUUAGACUGAAAAAAUAUCAAAUUCUAAUAAUGCAUAUAUAAAAUAAUCCCCGUAUAUAUUCAUUUUCAUAUUUUUAAUCUUUGACACAUUUAUUUUGUUUUUGUAGGUUGGAUCCUACUCUAAAGAGGGGAAAUCUCUAUUUUCAUAUUUAUCAUAUUUCAUUACCCUAGUUAGCAUUGCUGGAUCCAAGACGAGAAAUCUUCAAUCAGUUAUUGCUAGGCUUAAACACAAAAAAAAUCGUUGGGAUCAUAGUCUAUUGAAGGAACAUGUUGGCAGUAGUCUUUUGGGUAAUACCAUGAAUUUAGUGAAAGAUGAAAUUAUUGAUAAUGAAAAUCAUGUCCAUAGAAGUGAUAACAAUUCUGAAGACUUUGAAGAAGUAAAUGAUGGUCAAUAUUCUUCACUCAAACUCAUUGAUGAUUCUUGUUUCAUUUCUCUUGAGUUGAAUGACUUUUUUGAAUCAAACCUCCCAAAAUUAGUAAAAGGGUGCAAACGGGUCUUACUUUAUAGGUAAUUUUUCUUUAUAUUUGUGUAUUGAAUAAUAUUCUGCUUUUUUCCGGUUGAAAUAUUAAUAUUAAUUCUUUUUUUGAAUGUUUGUCAGUACAUUGAAACAUGGGAUAUCACUUCGUACAUUGAUCCGUAACAGUUCUCAACUCACUACUCCUGGUUUGUUGGUAUGUUAUAACAAUUAUGAACGAAAAAUAUAUCUCUUAUUGUAGUAAGAUAAAUGAUUUUUUAAGAUCAAAGUUCGGCGUCAAAUAUAUAAGGGUUAAAUAAGUUUUUUAUUCAUGUAGAUAUAUCGAAUUUUGAUUUUAUACGCUAAAAAAUAAAAUGUUUCAAUCGUCGCAAAAUUUUUUGUUUUGUUUUUUGUCCAUGUGAAUAUACUUUUGACAUGUUCUUAACAUUUUUUGAACAUAAUAAAUAGACAUAACAUGAAGGCGUCUUGAACAUAAAAGAGUGAUAGUCUUACAUUCAUAUGACUAAAAAUGGGUUAUUAGCAACCAAAAACAAAAUGAUAAUUUUUGUGAGGGUGAAAAUAUUUUGCCUUAUUUUUUAGGGACCAAACUCAAAAUUCAAUGUAUUAUUUGGGACGAAAAACUUAUUUGACCAAUAUAUAAAUAUACAUGAUAUUAUAUGUAUUUUAAUAUUCAAAUAACACAAUUGGUAUAGUAUAUAUACUAAUAUGUAGUUUUUUUUUGGCUUUUCUUGAAAUACAAUUAUAAUCGACCAUUGUUAUGUUGAUAAUUAAACUCAAAAUUUUGGAAUAAAUUCUAUCAUUUAGUAAUUUUUAAAUUUUAUUUAAUGAUAUAUUUUAAUCAAAAAUUGAAUUAGGAUAAAUUUAGAUUUAAUUUGUUUCGAUUGAUUUAAGAAUUGGAUUAGAUUUGAUUCAUAACAUAAAUUAGGAUUGGAUCAAAUUUGAAUUGAUUCAAAUUUCAAGUUUGAAAUUAGGAUUUGAUUCAAUUAUUUAUUUAGAUAAAAAAAAAUUUAUAAAUAAUAGACAAUAAUGCUAAGAUCUACAUUGUAGCCAUGUCUUAUAAUGUCAUGAGCUACAUUGUAGUCACAUACCUUUAUUUAAAAUAAAGUUAUAUUUGAUAUAGGUCUUGACUUAGUUUUUGAUAUUACAAUGGUUUGUAAUUAAAUGUGACUGAUGUUUUCUCAAUUAGACAUGAUAUCAAAAACUAUAUAAUAUCACAACCUACAUUAGAGUUACAUACAUUUAUUUAAAAUAGUGAGUAUAACAUCAAUAUACUAAUUGUAUUUUAUUUAUAUUUGUUUUGAAAAAACUAUAGAUUGUUGGAGAUAUGAAAGGGGCUGUGUUUGGUGCGUUGCUUGACUGCCCCUUAAUUCCAACAACAAGGCCUAAAUAUCAAGUAUGUGAACUCUUUUUCAUAAUACUCUAUUAAUUUUGCACAAACAUAUGGUUUUAAUGUGUUGAAGUACAUUCCUUCAAAAAAAUUUUUUUGAAGUAUAUGGUUUAUUUUUCUAUUUGUUCGUAACAGGGGACACACCAAACUUUUGUGUUUACAAACUUAGAUAGUCAUCCAAGAAUUUUUCGACCAACAGGUAAGGUUUUAAUUAAUUGAUGUGUAAAUACAUUUUUAUUUUUUAUUUUUGGUUUGAUAAGAGUGUAUACAAAGUAGAAACUUUAGAAUUAUCAAAAUCUAUAAAGGGUUUAUUGUAGCAGUUUGAGAUCAAAUAUAUUUUUUCAAUUUCAAAUGAUGUGUUUUCUCAAUAUAUUAAUUAGUUAUAACACGGUAAAAAAAAACUAGUAACACGAUAAAAAUAUUAAAAGUGUGAAAUUAAUUAAAAUACUUGUUGAAUUACCUUUUACAACUAUGUAUUAAUUAAAAAUAGAGUCAAGCAGUCUAAAAAAUUGGCCAUUGAUUAAAUUUUGAUCACCUCAUGUAUUAUUUCACUUAAUUUUAGUGGUAAUUGAAAAACACAGUCCCAAAAUUAUUGUAUGAUAAUGGUUAAAUCCUAUUUCUAAUCCACAUUAUACUUCAUAAUUCAGAUUGUCGAUUUAUAAUCAAAAGGAAGAAAUUAAACAAGUGAUUGGUAACUUAUGAAGGUUGUUGUUGUUGUUGUUGUUAGUAUUAUUAUUCUUAGACAAAUGAAAAUGAUUAUGACUAUUUUUUUAUGAAAUUCAACAAUUUGUAAUCAUUUAAAGCGACAUAAGUUAAUAGUUUCAAGCAAUAUCCUAAAUAUUUUUCAUUUUAAUUUUCUUUUGAUUGAUAAUUGAUGUCGCAAUUUUAUAUGGUUAAUUCUAUUCUAGGUGUUAAUCGGUACUAUUAUUUGUGUUCUAAUGACUCAUUUGCAUUUGGUGGAGGUGGUGGUUUUGCUUUAUACUUAGAUGGAGAUUUGUAAGUAUUUCAAUGCUAACACUUUUUUAAUCCCCUUUCUUUUGGACUCAAAAUCCAGUUUUUUUUAAGCACCACUAGUUGAAUUGAUAUCAUCACUUCUAUUGAAUGUAUCGUAAAAAAGGUUAACUGGAACGAGUGGACCCUGCGACACAUUUGAAAAUCAUUGUCUAGCUCAUACUCCUGAGUUUGAAAUAAAGAAUGUUGAGGUAAUGUUCACAUGCUUCAUACUAAUUACUUUAAUUAUCUAGCUUAUAUCAAGCAAAUAAGUAUUUUGAUAAAUAAGUGUUUUCCAUGUCAAUUAGUAUAAGUUUAAAUAUGUUAGGUUAAACUACACUUUUUGCCCCCUAAGUUUCAAAAUGUUUUUAUUUUUUUAAGGCUUAAAUAUGAUUUUCGUCCCUGUAAUUUGAACCCGUUUUGAUUUUCGUCCCAGUAAAAAAAAUAAAAUUGAAAAACAUAUUUUUUAAGGCCAGGGACCUUUUUCAAACAAAAAAUUAUUUACAAGGAUGUUUUGCAAACUUUUUUUUUUUACAGGGACGAAAAUCAUAUUUAAGCCUUUUUUUAAUAGGGGACCAAAAUCUCAACAUUUUGAAACUUAGGUGGCGAAAAGUGCAGUUUAGACAAUAUGUUAUUUAUUCCUGAAAUUAUACCAUUAAUAAUUUUCAACUUGUUGCACUGAAUAAAAUUUGUCCUCACAAAUACAUCAUAUUUAUUUUUAGUUCUAGCAGUUUUCUUUUAAUCUAUUCUAAAUAGUUUGUUUGUGGUUUGGAUGCUCAUAGUUAUGACAUCCAAGAAUGUAUAAUUAUCUAAUUGUUAUAUUUUCUAACAUAGUUCAUUAUUUAUAUAUUUAUUUUUACAAUUCAUUCUAUCUUACUUAUGCAUCAAUUUAGCCUAAUUCUUAUUUUUACUAGAAUGGAAAUUUAUUAAUUCAUGAUUUUUAAUAUGUACAGUUGUGGGGUUUCACACACACUUCCUCUUAAUCACAUGAUGUUAAGGUUGGAAUGACUUGGUCGGGAUGUUCAAACACAUCAAACUCAUCCGAUAAUAGAUGUCACAUUUGACAAAAAUAAUUGCCUCCACAUGAUUGUAUUUUUUUUUUUACUUUCAAUGUAACUUUAGUUGUUUUCUAUCCUAUCGUUCCUUCUAAAUAAUACAACUUGUAUUCAUCCUAUAGUACUUAAGUUUGUCCCGACAAAUAAAAUCUUCAAAAAAUUAAGUGACAAUUUUAUUAUGUUUUUUGGCAUUGUUCAUUUCUUAAAAAUCCAAAAUGCUGGAUAUAAAUGAGAUAUAUUCAUUUUUCCCAAUAGAUAAGCUCGCAAGUUAAGUCCAUGUCUCAAAGAUAAUAUGUCCAAUUACAAAUUCUAUAAAAAAAAACAAUAAACAAACAAACAAAGCUCUGCACACAAGCACCACCCAACGUCUCAUUCAUUUAUCGACAACGUCGCAAACCUAAUUUGCCUCCAUUACUUUUAAGUUUUUCUAUUUUCACCAUAAUAAUACUAAUACAACACGAAAUCACGUUUUGGGAUGCACAAACCAUAGGAAUAUCUCUUCAUGUCUCCUUAUGUUUGCCCGAGGCGCAUGAAUCAGAGGUUAUUUCCCUUGUUUUCCUUCAUUCUUCAUGUGUUUUUAUCCUUGAUAUGAGAUUGGGACGUGGGACAAAAAUUAUUUUAUUUUGACUUCAAUAAGUCGUUGCACUUGAUAUACUUGCUUCCAUACGAAGUGAAGUUUUGAUAUUCGAACAAAUGAAUUUAGACAAGGAUUGCAAAACAUGAGAAUAGUCUAGCAAACCUUGGGACAUAUAAAGUUUCAAACUUCAAGAAUUCUAAUAGCAAUCAACCAUGAGAAUAGGCGUGGUUGCUAGAGUAACACACUCACUGAGACCGAAAGGAGAUGUGAUAGGCUAAUCUCAUAAACAAUUGUCAAUAACAAUUAUAAACUUCCUUCUGCUCUUACAAUUAAUCAUUUCAAUUUCAAUUGAAGUCAAAAUCCUGAGAAUGGGCUGAUUCCCAAAUGCAAAUUUGCUAAAAAUUCAAUAAUACAAUUAUGGAUAAGAUGAUUGAACAUAUAUUAGGAACGGUUUAAGUAAAUAUGAAUUUUUAGUUGGUAUAAGUCGGCUAGUUCUUGAUAAGUUGACCAGUUCAAGUCAAUAUUUGAUUUUAUGUAUUUAUUGAAACUUUUGACUUAAGUUUGCUAUAUUUCUAAAAGAAACUAUUUUAGAUAAAGAAAAUAUAUGUGCGGUACAAUAAAACUUAUAAAAUUUGUAUGGUAAAACACUAUAUAUAUAUAUAUAUUAUUAGGUUGUAAAAUAUAAGAGUCUCAUUUGGUUUAAUUAGAGAUUCAGGUUCAAAUUUAAUCUUGAGACUAUAACACUGUUAAAUCUUUUGUGAGAAAAUUUUGUUUGUCAUUGUGGUCAUAUCCGAUUUAGGAUUAAUCGAUAUAGUUUUUACACACAAAUGAUACUCAUUUCACACACACAAAAAUUAUAGAUACUUUUCUAAAAAAAAAAAGGAUCACAUUAUUCUACAUACAUUUCUAAAACUUCUCUUACCUUGACAAUGGAUAUCAAUUAAACUCUUAAAAAUAUGCAUGUUAUUUAAUAGAUUAUAUAAUAUAUUUAUUAUUUUCGUUGUGAUUGUUAGCUAUAAUAUGACAAUCAUUCGUAAUCAAUAGUAAAAAUUAAGAUAAAAUAAAAAAUAUUUAAGACAAAAAAAAAACUAACUGAACUAAUUUGGUGUUUACACAUUUUUGUUUUGGUCAAGUAGUCUAGGGGUUAUAAAUUCACUUUUUGAGGUGAAUAAAUGGCAUGUCCAUGGUUUGAACUAGGGGUGUGUGAUGAGUCAAUAAUUAGUCAUUUUAGUAUAAUAUUUAAUUUCGUUUUAAUUAGAUUUAAGUUUAUUUUAUUUUAAUAUUAUUUCCUUUUAGAGCUAUUUUACUUCAAUUGCAUAUUACCCACAUCUACAUAUGAUUUUUUUAGUUCUUAUCCAUUCACCUUUGAUAUUGUAAUAAACCUUAUCUACUAGGAUGUACAUUGGUACAUGUCAUUGUACUUAUAUAACUAGUACAUGCCCAUGUAUUUAUAUAUUGAAAAUCAAACUCUUUGUCAAACCAACAAUAUUAAGGAUUACUAAGACUCAUUGCACCUUAUAUACCUCAUAUAUAGUUACAGUCAAUAUUUCUUUCGAUUUUUAUAAAAGAUGUAUAAUUUGAAAGUUCUCAAGUUUUCUCGCGUCUUCUCCAAUUCUUUCAAUGGCCCUCUUCAAGUUAUGUUUGUUCUUUUCUCUUCCAUUUCAUUUUAAACAAAGAGGUUGGUUUCUCCUUGUUUAUUCUGUUUGUGUUGUUUACAAAAAAAAAUCCGAGCUUUAUUUAUUGCAACUGAAUUUAUAUAUUAAUAUAACCAUGUUCAUGCCAUAGUUAGCAUUGCUGGAUCCAAGACGAGAAAUCUUCAAUCAGUUAUUGCUAGGCUUAAACACAAAAAAAAUCUUUGGGAUCAUAGUCUAUUGAAUAAACAUGUUGGCAGUAGUCUUUUGGAUAAUACCAUGAAUUUAGUGAAAGAUGAAAUUAUUGAUAAUGAAAAUCAUAUCCAUAGAAGUGAUAACAAUUCUGAAGACUUUGAAGAAGUAAAUGAUGGUCAAUAUUCUUCAUUCAAACUCAUUGAUGAUUCUUGUUUCAUUUCUCUUGAGUUGAAUGACUUUUUUGAAUCAAGCCUCCCAAAAUUAGUAAAAGGGUGCAAACGGGUCUUAAUUUAUAGGUAAAUUUUCUUUAUAUUUAUGUAUUGAAUAAUAUUCUGCUUUUUCCCCAUUGAAAUAUUAAUAUUAAUUCAUUCUUUGAAUGUUUAUCAGUACAUUGAAACAUGGCAUAUCACUUCGUACAUUGACCCGUAACAGUGCUCAACUCACUACUCCUGGUUUGUUGGUAUGUUAUAACAAUUAUGAACAAAAAAUAUAUCUCUUAUUGUAGUAAGAUAAAUGAUUUUUUAACAUCAAAGUUCGGUGUCAAAUAUAUAAGGGUUAGACAAGUUUUUUAUUAAUAUAGAUAUAUAAUAUUUGUUAUUUAUGUGGUGUGCAUUAUUUUACUAUAUAGUUUAUUUUAAUAAUAAUUAGAAAAAGUGGGAAAUUAAUAUUAUUUUGGAGUUUGGGGAGUUAAUUAGGAUUUAAUAAAAUUAAAGGGGAGUAAAUGAAAUAAAGGGGAGUUAAUAUUUAGGGAGUUAGGAAAAGAGAAGUCAGAACUGCUUUUACGUGAAACCAAGUUUUUGGGAGAAAAGGGAGAGAAGAGCAAGUAGAGCCAAGGGAACCGAUUUGUUGUGCAUUUCUUUCUGCAAAACUAAGGUAAGGGUGAGGUUUACUUCAAUAGUGUAGUUGAUAAAUUCUGAUUUUGAUUUUAACAGGUUUAUGUGAGAAUUGAGAAUUUUGGGGUUUAUGUUGAAUUCUAGGUAUUGGGUGAAUUGAGUGUAGGAAUUGUUGUUCUGAUGUUAGAAAUAGGUUAUGAGUGCAUACAACAAGUUAUUUAACAUCUGUAAACCAAUUUGGGGAGUGAAAGUGAGAAAAUUGGAUUUUUGGGGAAAAACCUGCAUUCUGGUCGUGCUGAUAUUCAUCGCUCGCCUAGGCGAGUAGACUUUCCCGCCUCGCGAGUGAGCAGCUUCAUGGCUCGCCUCGCGAGCAGAACCACUCGCCAUGGCGAGUAUGCACCUGAGAGAUCAUGAUUUUUGAAGUGUUGUUAUAAGCUGUAAAAUGGAUAGUUCUAAGUGCUUAGAUGAUUUUAGAGAGGUCUGGGACAAUUUUCAGAUUAAAAUGAUGAAUAGAGAACUUAAAAAUGAAGAUUUAGUGAGAAAAAUGUCAAAACUUCCGAGAGCACCUGUUUUGAGUUCGCCACGGCGAGCAGCCUUUUUCUUGUGCUCGCCAUAGCGAGUAGAUGUACUUGCGAGGCGAGUUGCCCAGUUUUCAGAGCUGUUUGUUAUUUAAUUGUAUAAUGUUGAAUGAUAUUGAUGUCUAAGCAUGAUUAUUAUAAAUUGUGCAUUUUUCUGGAAUGAUUGGAUUGAUUAUAAUGACCUGUUGAUGUAUGUGAUGUAUGUUACAUUAAUUAAAUCAUACAUGGUGUUAAAUUAGCGGAGUUGUAAGUCAUAUGUACAUAUAUGCAUUGUCAAGUUGUAUGUAGAUAUACACAAGUGGAGUCAGUUGCAUAAGCACAAAAGCGGGAGGGCUCUGGCCCUGGAACGCCUUGUCGUUCAAAAGCGGUGGAACACUUUGUUGUUCAAAGCGGUGAUUAGCGGUGAGGACUUAUGUCCUGAAAUGAAUGCUUUAACCAUUCAAUUAGCGGUGAGGGCUCCGGCCCUGAAUAUGGUACCAUAUGCAUGAGCAUUGUAGAGGAGUCUUAGUGGAGUUGUUGAGUGUUGCAUGAGUCGAUGUUGUUGGUUUUAAUUACCAUUUGUUGUUGAUGUUGAUAAUGAUGAUAUUUUUAUAUAUUCAUGAAUUAUUAUUAUGAUAGGGUGUUAGAUUCAAUUGAUAAAUUUAUUAUCUAUAUUUAUUGUUGUGAAUCUCACCCCUUCUGCUUGAAAAUGUUGCCCUUCCUAUAUGUAACUUGCAGGUGAUCCCGAGUAGUAGGUGGUGGUUCAAGUGUCUAGCGCUCUAAUACGUACGGGAUGAGAUUUUAUUGCUUAUUUUCAUUCCUAUGUAUCAAAUUUUGGAACAUGAUGAUGUAGCCCUAUUGUUGUUUGAAUUUCUUUGAUGAGGCUUUUAUGCCAAGAUUAUUUAUUGGAGAUAAAUAUGUUGGAUGUUGUUGUUAUUUAAAGUUGAAAAUAUUCUGCUCCAAAGUUUUGAUGAAAUGAUUAAAGUUGGUUGUUUAUUAAAUAGUUUUAUAUUCUAUUUAAGAAAUUUUGAAAAUAUAGUGUGACAUGCCCGUUUGGGUUAUUACUCUGAUGAAUUAUUUAUUAAUUAAUUGAUUUUGGGUAACAGAGUGUUACACUUAGCAUAUAAGAUUAGGGAAUCGAAUAAAACUUUGUAAUUAUACACUUGUAAACAUUUUCAUCAUAGUGGAAGCCCGUGAUAGAGGCGUUUUCUUUCACAAAGAGAUGAUGUACCCUAACGAGGACGAAAAGGGAGAACCUUUAUAAAUCUUGGUGUUUUCUCUUCCCUAUCUUUUUAAUUUCAGUAUUGUCAUACCCCAAUUUUUGACCUAAGGCCCCACUGACACGUGUCGUCUAACCCUGAUCAAUCCAUGAUUUUUCAGUGAAAAAUUCGGCAAAAAAGUAUUUUAAAAUACCUCAUUUUGGUUCCGAAUCAGGCCCUCUUCUCUCAGUCCUCAAUCAUUUAUUUCCAUCUUUUAUUCUUAAAGUAAUCCUAAUUUUAUUUAUUUUAAUUUUAAAAUCAAUAUUUCUUUUAAUUCCAUUUUAGAUAAGUCCAAAAGUCAAGACUGCAUUUAUUUUAUUUUUAUUUUCAUUUUCUCAUUUAUCAUUUAUUAAUUCGUUAUUAACCAAAAUAAAAUCAAAAAAUGGCCCUCAUCCAAAGAAAUGCCCCGCAUCAUUCUUUCCUCAAUCCAAAUUCAGUUCUCAACCUUAUCAGUCCAACAGCAAUCACCAGCUUUCAUUCCAAUCCAAAGUGCAGAUUUUCUGCAUCCUUUAACAAACCCUAAUCUCAAAGUCCCACACUAUAAAAGCAACCUGCAUAACACAAAAGAGAGGGGGCCGAAAUUCAUAGAGCAGAGAGAACCAAAAACGGCCGAAAUUCAACCAAAAGCCAGUGCAAUUCAACAUCAAACCAGAAGCCAUCACAAGCCUCAAUCAUCAAAACCAAUUUCCAAUCCCACCGUACCAAGAAAAACAUACAAUAUCGGAAACCAGUCACACGACACCAUAAACCUGCAAAAAUCACAGCAACACAACACACAGCCGUGAUAAUCAUCACACAAAUCAUCAACAACCAAUACACCAUCACUCCAAACCAAAUCCAACACGUCUAGAACCUCAAACCAAACAAAUCCCAUUACGAAAGACAUUUAGAUCUAGGACUUUAUAUGUUGUUUUUUGUUUGUCUUGUUUUAAUAUAGGAAAAAUCAAGAAAAAAAGAAGCCAGAGACACACAGGAGCCAGACGGACACAAAAAGCCACUCAAGCCACAAGUCGACUACAACAACAACAGAUUCGUCGCCGUCACAAACGACAACAAGCAACCGGAUUCGUUCCAGAAAAAUCAAAGGUAGUUUUCUUUCUCUUAUUUUAGAUCUAGAAGUCUAGGUCUGGUGUUUGGAAAUUUUAAGGCUAGAAACGAAUAGAGAGUGGAAAGAGGGUUUGAAAACCGAAAAAAAAAAUUAAAAAAGGGGAUUUUGAGUGUCCGGCGCGGCGCCGCCGCUGCAGUUGGCCGGCGAGCCACCGCGCCGGAAAGAACCCAACCACCCUUCUCGCCGGAGAAGAAGAAGUUAGAGAGAGGAGAGAGCUUAUGAGAUAUAGAGAGAAAGGCAAGAGGGAAAUGAGAGAAAAUAGGGUUACACCCUUUAUAUAUUCCCUGAGCCGGUUCGGUUCUUUUGAAUCCGGCCCAAGUCUGAACCGAACCGAAACCGAUUCUUUGCCCAAGCCCAGCGCCCCAGUCUGUCCUCUAAGCCCAAAUCCGAAGUUGCUCCUUAGCCCAAUUCCCUUUCUUUUUUCUGCUUGCUAUUCCUGCACCCCCUGUUUACUGCUACACCUCCCACCUUGUGAUUGAACCUUGUUUUUUUUAUUAUUUCAUGCAUUUUAUUUAUCUUUUAGCAUUGUAAUUAUUAUUUUAUAUUCUCUCAUGCAUGUUUAUUUAUUUAUGUCAUUUAUUUUAUAGCAAGGAUGUAAGAAUGUAAAUUAGGGCUUUGAUGUAAAUAAUUUAUUUUAUUUCCGUCAUUUACUUUCUCGCAGACCAUAACAUGUAUAAUAGGUUUUUUGUAAUAACUUAGGUGCAUGUGUGCGUGUGUGGGUGUAUGCUUUAUUUUUCUGCUUAAGUACCUACGCUUUACUUUUCUGUUCCGUUAGUUUAUAUUCUAGUUCAUUUAUUCAAAAACAACAAAAACAUGCAAAUAACAAAAAUCACAAAAAAAACAUUUUCAUAAACAAACAUUGAUCCUAAAUCAAGUGAUCGUCUUUUUUUUUAUUCUUUCUUUAAUCAAAUUUCAAUCAACUUAAUUUUAUCAUGAGUCCAUUUCCUUUAAACAUAAAAAAUACAAACCAAUUCUCAUUUGCCACUUGGCUUUUCAUUUUAAAACCUUUUUCAAAACUAAUAAAAAACACUCAACAAAUCAAACGUCAAUUUCUACCCCGAACUACGAGGUUUUGAUCCCUCACGGGUACGUAGGCAGAGAACCAUGUCCUUCCAAACAAUAAAAAAUGUAGAUAUUUAGGUCUUUAUUUUUUUCCACUUUAAUUCUUCUUUUCAAAAUAAGCAAACAAGUUAUAGCACAAAAAACGUAAAUAAAACCAAGAGGUUCCCGUAGAGUACUACGGACAUAAAGGGUGCUAACACCUUCCCUUUAUGUAACUAACCCCCGAACCCAAAAUCUUUUCAAAUAGGGGUAGUUUGAACUUUUUUUCCCCUUUUCAUAAUAAAAUUAAAUGUUGUGAAAUAAAAAGUGAGUCAAAAGCUAAUCAAAUAGCUUUGAUUUCCAAAAAAUGACGCAACAAGUAUUAUAAUUGUGUAUAUAAAUUCAUUGUAUGAAGUAAUCAUUAUUUGAUUAUGAGUAUACUUUUUUUUACCAAAAUCUAAUCUUAAUUUUCUUAAUUGAGAUUUUCUCAAUUUAAUUUUCUCGCAAUGAAAGUUGAAAGUUAACUUCAAAUAAAUGAUUCAUAUACCUUGUGUUCAUUAGUUGUUAGUGUGAUUUAUUGAUUAAUAGAUUUCGUUUGAGAUACUUUAGUUUUUCAAUUUAAAUGUGUGUAUUGAUUUUUGAACUGUAUUAUAAGAUUCAAUAGUGAACUUCUCACUCAUAUUUGAAUAUUUAUUUCCUUUCAUUGCUUUACUUUUAUCAUCAUUUAUCAAACACAAUUCAAUGGUCAUAAUUGGUUUUUAACUAACGCUUUUCGCAAAAUCUUUUAAAAUCGAAAAACACUAUUCAGCCCCUCUAGCAUGUUCUCCAUAUAAGACUAACAUAAGGGUUCGAAAGCAAGUGGUUUGUAAAAAUGCAAGCAAGCUGACUUUUCGUAUCAAUAUGUUUCAAAAUAACGUCCCCCUUUUCAACAUGGCCACUUAGGAAAUGAUGAAUCUCUAUACUCUUAGUUCUUGAAUGUAAAACUGAGUUCUAUUUAAGUUGAUGCCACUUGUGUUAUUAUAUAUUAUUGGAAUAUGAUCUAGUUUAAAAUCAUUGUCUAGAAGUUGUUUCAACUAAAGAAUCUGAUCACAACAACUUCCAGCUGCACAUAUUCCGCUCUAGUUGUGGACAAAACACAACACUUACUUGCUUUUUUCUAUGCCACAACAUUAAAUAAUUUUAAAAAAGAUAACAAUUACUUCAUCCGUUCUAAAUUAUAUGUCACAUUUUUACAAUGUGCACCAUGUACAUAACUUACUUUGACCUUAUUUUUAACUUAUAUAUGAAUAUACAAAUGUUAACAUUUAAGACGUCGUUCGAUUUGUGUCGAUAAAUAUUUUUAAAAUAUUAAUUUUUUAUAAUUUUUUGCUAUAGAUAAUUAAAGAUAUCAACGAUCAAAAUUGUGUAUUAACAUUAUAGAAAAUAAAUGUAAAUUUGAAGUAUCUAAAAUUAACAAGAGAAAUCCCGUAAAUUUAACUCGGUUGAUAAAAACAUUAUAUUAUAUAUAGAAGCUGAAGUUCGAUCCCAUGUACUAAUUUCGGCUGUCCACCGAAAAUGAAACAAACAAUAGAAAAGUUAUUUCGACAAUGUACAAGUUAUCGGACACCGUAUUUUCGUAACAUUGUCAACCAGAUCCGACCCGAAAAGAAUUGCUGGACCGGGUAUUUGGCCCAGGCCCGUAAAUUUUCUUUCAUACAAACACCAAAUCUAAACAAUUAGCGGUGAUUUUUUUCGAUUUAGUUUUCUCUUCGGCUUCGUUUUCUCGUUACCACCAUUUCCCUCUCUCUUCUCCAAAACCCAAAACCCUAAUUUCUUCUUCCUCAACCACGAUGAACUGCUCCAGUUAAUUUCUUCUUCCUCUAUUCUCUUCUUUCGUUUCUUCUCUGUUUCGAUUUCGAAUUUCAUUGUUUUUGAUCUGCGAUUUUUUUUUUUUUUUUUGCAGUUUCUGGUGAGGUUCCAGAUGAGCCUGUGGUGUCAAAAAGCUCUGGGCUUUUGUUCGAGAAGAGAUUAAUCGAGAGGCAUAUAAUGGUAAUGAUUCUUUCUCUCUCUGUUUAAUUGCUUUUUCCGAUUCAAUUUUGUGAAUAAUAGUUUAGGGUAGAAGUGUAAUUUGGGAAUAGUAAUGGUUAUUUCUCUCUGUUUAUUUAACAUUUGAAGUUGAAUUUGUGAACUAUAAUUAGGGAUUAGCUUGUUAGGGUAGAGGGGUAGUUUGGGAAUAGCUGUUUAAUGGAUAAAAUGGAUUUUUUUGUGUGUGUUUUGGUAUUAGGGUUAGUUUAUUUUUGAGCUUAUGAAAAAUUUAUGCAAAUAAAUAAGCUUUUAUGUUAAGUCAUAAAUUCUCACUAAUGAAAAUUGUAUCUUCAUAAGCUGUUUUUUCAUAAACUACCUUACAAGCUUAUGAAUAAUACAUAAAAGCUUAUUUAUUUGCGCAAGCUAAACAAUAAGCCAAUCCAAACAGGCCCAUAGUUUAGUUCAUUUUAGGUUGAAAGUGUUUGGUCUUUUAUGUUCUUCAAGGGUAUUGUAGUGGAAAUUAGGAGUGUAGGCAACUCAAAUUUUAGAUGGAGUGUAGGGUAGUAGGGUAAUUUGGGAAUAAUGAUUUAAUCGAGAAUUGUGUUGUAUUAGUUUUAGUACAUUUUAGGUGGAAAAUGUUUGGUCUUGUAACUAAUUUGAAGGUUCAGUAGUAGAAAUAAAUAGUGUCGGUCUCUGUAAACCUGACACUUCUGAUCGAAGCCGUGUAAUGACACCGACUCAUGUUUUGCAUUGAGUUAUGUAAUUUUCUCAAAAUUGUAUUGUCGUCAUUGUGUCUGGUUUCCAUGUUUCAUAGUUGUCGGCAAUUCGAAGUUUUAAAUGGAAUUUAGUUAUACAACCCAUGACUGGAAUUUUGGACUUUAUUUUAUUUACGGCAAGACAAUAUUUAAGGCGAGACAUGUGGUUCUUUGGUUCUGGAUACCGACUUUUGUAUUGGUAUUAGGAGAUGUGAAAGCUAAAGGGUAAUUCGGAAGCAGUAUAUUUGUUAUAUUUUGGUUCUUUGGUUCUGGAUACCGACUUUUGUAUUGGUAUUAGGAGAUGUGAAAGCUAAAGGGUAAUUCGGAAGCAGUGUAUUUGUUAUAUUUUGUUUCUUUUCUCUUUGUUAUAUGUGCUAUCUUUUGGUGAAUGAAAGAAAGUGGGGCGUUUUUGUACAGAGUGAGUUGCGUAGCAUGUUUGAAGUUUGAGGUGGUUUGGUCUUUUAAGCUGUUUAAAGUGUUUAGUAGUGGAAAUUAGUAGCAUACCCAACUAAAAAUUUGUAAUGGAAUUUAGUUACACAACCGAUGACUGUAAUUUCAAAAUUUAUUUUAUUUGAGCCGAGACAUCAGCAUAACUAAUAUUUAUUUUAAUAUACCAAAUUUUGUAUUGGUUUUAGGAGAUUUGUUUGAAAUAUAAAACGAUAGGAGUGCCGAACAGCCAAAAUGUGAUUUGAAUUUUGAUAGAAACCGGUACCAAAAUAGAAACAGAAUAGAAAUAACUUAUUUUAUUAAUAAUAGAAUAUGAUUACACAAUAUUUGAGAGUCUUGGGUCUCUCCCGCCAAGAAUUCGGGAGCUUGGUCACUCCCAACCAGUAACCAGUCCCCAAUAAAAUGCCUAUCGACAUUGUCCUUAAGAUCCCUUAUUUAUCCAGUAACUUAUUCUCUAGUAACUGCCUAAAACAUAACUGUUCCUAAUACAUAACUGCUACACAUUAAUAUAGUAACUGUUGCCUGAUAAAAUAACAACUGCAG